rnacentral:rRNA from 1 species
GAGUAGCGUUAAAGGGGGUGAAAAGCCCCCUCGCCGUAAGCGCAAGGUUUUCUACGCAACGUUCAUCGGCGUAGAGUGAGUCGGCCCCUAAGGCGAGGCAGAGAUGCGUAGCUGAUGGGAAACAGGUCAAUAUUCCUGUACCGAUAUACAGUGCGAUGUGGGGACGGAUCUUAAUAGGUCAUCCGGGUGUUGGAUAUCCCGGUUUAGUUGGAUGUAGGCGUGCAUUAGGCAAAUCCGGUGCACAUAUACCGAGGCCAACGAUCGAGCGAGCUUGCUCGCGAAGUGACUGAACGAGGUUCCAGGAAAAGCCACUAAGCUUCAGCUACACACGACCGUACCGCAAACCGACACUGGUGCGCGAGAUGAGUAUUCUAAGGCGCUUGAGAGAACUCGGGAGAAGGAACUCGGCAAAUUGGUACCGUAACUUCGGGAAAAGGUACGCCCCGGUAGCUUGGCUGAUUUACUUCAGUAGGGCGAAAGGGUUGCAAUAAACUGGUGGCUGCGACUGUUUAAUAAAAACACAGCACUCUGCAAACACGAAAGUGGACGUAUAGGGUGUGACGCCUGCCCGGUGCUGGAAGAUUAAAUGAUGGGGUGCAAGCUCUUGAUUGAAGUCCCAGUAAACGGCGGCCGUAACUAUAACGGUCCUAAGGUAGCGAAAUUCCUUGUCGGGUAAGUUCCGACCUGCACGAAUGGCGUAACGAUGGCGGCGCUGUCUCCACCCGAGACUCAGUGAAAUUGAAAUCGCUGUGAAGAUGCAGUGUAUCCGCGGCUAGACGGAAAGACCCCGUGAACCUUUACUAUAGCUUUGCACUGGACUUUGAAUUUGCUUGUGUAGGAUAGGUGGGAGGCUUUGAAGCGUGGACGCCAGUUCGCGUGGAGCCAUCCUUGAAAUACCACCCUGGCAACUUUGAGGUUCUAACUCAGGUCCGUUAUCCGGAUCGAGGACAGUGUAUGGUGGGUAGUUUGACUGGGGCGGUCUCCUCCUAAAGAGUAACGGAGGAGUACGAAGGUGCGCUCAGACCGGUCGGAAAUCGGUCGUAGAGUAUAAAGGCAAAAGCGCGCUUGACUGCGAGACAGACACGUCGAGCAGGUACGAAAGUAGGUCUUAGUGAUCCGGUGGUUCUGUAUGGAAGGGCCAUCGCUCAACGGAUAAAAGGUACUCCGGGGAUAACAGGCUGAUACCGCCCAAGAGUUCAUAUCGACGGCGGUGUUUGGCACCUCGAUGUCGGCUCAUCACAUCCUGGAGUUGAAGAAGAUUCCAAGGGUUUGGCUGUUCGCCAAUUAAAG